ACGGAAUAGAUACCCGGGUAGUCCCAGCCGUAAACGAUGCUCGCUAGGUGUCAGGCAUGGCGCGACCGUGUCUGGUGCCGCAGGGAAGCCGUGAAGCGAGCCACCUGGGAAGUACGGCCGCAAGGCUGAAACUUAAAGGAAUUGGCGGGGAGCACAACAACGGGUGGAGCCUGCGGUUUAAUUGGACUCAACGCCGGACAACUCACCGGGGCGGACAGCAAUAUGUAGGCCAGGCUGAAGACCUUGCCUGAAUCGCUGAGAGGAGGUGCAUGGCCGUCGCCAGUUCGUACUGUGAAGCAUCCUGUUAAGUCAGGCAACGAGCGAGACCCGUGCCCACUGUUACCAGCAUAUUCUCCGGAAUGAUGGGUACUCUGUGGGGACCGCCGAUGUUAAAUCGGAGGAAGGUGCGGGCCACGGUAGGUCAGUAUGCCCCGAAUCUCCCGGGCUACACGCGGGCUACAAUGGAUGGGACAAU
rnacentral:rRNA from 1 species